AGAGUUUGAUCAUGGCUCAGAAUCAACGCUGGCGGCGUGCCUCAGACAUGCAAGUCGAACGCGAAAGUCCCCUUCGGGGGAUUAGUAGAGUGGCGCACGGGUGAGUAACACGUAGGUAAUCUACCUUCGGGUGGGGAAUAACCCAGGGAAACUUGGGCUAAUACCGCAUAAUGCAGCGGCACCACAUGGUGACAGUUGUUAAAGCGGGGGAUCUUCGGAUCUCGCGCCUGAAGAGGAGCCUGCGGCAGAUUAGCUAGUUGGUAGGGUAACGGCUUACCAAGGCAACGAUCUGUAGCCGGCCUGAGAGGGCGGUCGGCCACACUGACACUGACAUACGGGUCAGACUCCUACGGGAGGCAGCAGUCGGGAAUUUUGGGCAAUGGGCGAAAGCCUGACCCAGCAACGCCGCGUGAAGGAUGAAAUCCCUCGGGAUGUAAACUUCGCAAGAAUAGGAAGAAUUAGUAGGGGUUAAUACCCCCUAUGAUGACGGUACUAUUUGUAAGCUCCGGCUAACUCCGUGCCAGCCGCCGCGGUAAUAC
rnacentral:rRNA from 1 species